GGCAGCCGCCGCGGUAACACCGGCGGCCCGAGUGGUGAUCGUGAUUAUUGGGUCUAAAGGGUCCGUAGCCGGUUUGGUCGGUCCUCCGGGAAAUCUGAUAGCUCAACUAUUAGGCUUUCGGGGGAUACUGCCAGACUUGGAACCGGGAGAGGUAAGAGGUACUACAGGGGUAGGAGUGAAAUCUUGUAAUCCCUGUGGGACCACCUGUGGCGAAGGCGUCUUACCAGAACGGGUUCGACGGUGAGGGACGAAAGCUGGGGGCACGAACCGGAUUAGAUACCCGGGUAGUCCCAGCCGUAAACGAUGCUCGCUAGGUGUCAGGCAUGGCGCGACCGUGUCUGGUGCCGCAGGGAAGCCGUGAAGCGAGCCACCUGGGAAGUACGGCCGCAAGGCUGAAACUUAAAGGAAUUGGCGGGGGAGCACAACAACGGGUGGAAGCCUGCGGUUUAAUUGGACUCAACGCCGGACAACUCACCGGGGGCGACAGCAAUAUGUAGGCCAAGCUGAAGACUUUGCCUGAAUCGCUGAGGAGUGGUGCAUGG
rnacentral:rRNA from 1 species